rnacentral:rRNA from 1 species
CAGUAGCCACGGGAAUACGAAGGGGGCUAGCGUUACUCGGAAUUACUGGGCGUAAAGGGCGCGUAGGCGGCGCUCCAAGUUAGGCGUGAAAGUCCUGGGCUCAACCUGGGAACUGCGCUUAAGACUGGAGUGCUUGAGGAUGGAAGAGGGUUGUGGAAUUCCCAGUGUAGAGGUGAAAUUCGUAGAUAUUGGGAAGAACACCGGUGGCGAAGGCGGCAACCUGGUCCAUUACUGACGCUGAGGCGCGACAGCGUGGGGAGCAAACAGGAUUAGAUACCCGUGUAGUCCCUGUCUCUUAUAC